rnacentral:rRNA from 1 species
GCCAACGUUCAUAUCACGUUGAAUACACCAGUUCUCGUCCGAUCACUGAAGUUAAGCAACGUUGAGCGUGGAUAGUACUUGGAUGGGUGACCGCCUGGGAACACCACGUAACGUUGGCGUCU